rnacentral:lncRNA from 10 species
GAGGAGCUGGGCCUUGCCGGGCGCUGCCUCACCCUGACACCGCGCCCUGCCACAGAGGCUGAGCUGCUCACCUGUCACAGUGCUGAGUACGUGGGUCAUCUCCGGGCCACAGAGAAAAUGAAAACCCGGGAGCUGCACCGUGAGAGUUCCAACUUUGACUCCAUCUAUAUCUGCCCCAGUACCUUCGCCUGUGCACAGCUUGCCACUGGCGCUGCCUGCCGCCUGGUGGAGGCUGUGCUCUCAGGAGAGGUGUGUCCUCUGUGGGCUGGGGAGAGGAGGACCUGGGGGGAAUGGAAAAAGAGAGCCAUCUGCUGUUUCUGGAGGCUCUGAGAGAGUCAAGCAGGGCCUGAGGAAAGGGGCCAUGGGGAGGGGCACGGGAGGGGGUGGGCCUAGAGGCUGGGGGAAUAAUGGAAGGAACUGGAGAAAGGGAAGGGUGGCCAAGUGCAGUGGCUCACGUCUGUAAUCCUAGCGCUUUGAGAAGCUGAGGUGAGCUCAGGAGGUCAAGGCUGCAGUAAGCCAUGAUUGCACCACUGCACUCUAGCCUGGGCAACAGAGUGAGACCCUGUGUC